GUCAGUGAUAUUCAGGCCACCGGUGAUGGGAGCCGUGUUUAUCCCAGGCACAGAAGUGCUCUUAAAAGGGAGUAAGAUCUCAAGUGGCAGCUGGAAUUUUUAGAUGUUCAGGCUUAGAAGGCCUCAGCUGCAGAGAAAGGAGAGUGUCUUUGUGAGGAGCAAGGGGUGCUGAUGAUCGCAGGAGAGCUGAGACGGAGGGACAGGAACAGACGCAGAAUUUCUCUGCCGAGAUUUUUUUCCAGUGGGAUCCACGGUGGAUAUUUUUAAAUGCCCGGCUUAUUCCGUGACCUGUUAAAAUCAAGUUGAUGUGCGUGUGCUCCACUCAGCGGAGAACUCGCCGGAGAUGGAGCGAUUCCUCUGCACUCUGGAAGAAGAGACAAGAGCACGCUCUGGAAGCCUUUAUGAGGAGGCUUUUAGAAGCCAUUUUGAAAAGCCAGUCGUUAUCCUUCGGUGUUUUGGAAGUCUGGACUGGACCUCCCAGGUGAUAUUAGGAAAUUGGAACAGCACCUGUAGUGCCAGAUUGCUGUUGGCUGAAGAAGAAAACACCUGCUUCCUCCUUUUCCAGAGGUGGUUGGUGGUUGGUGUUCCUCCUACCUGGGCCGUGUCCUCAAGCACAACUGUUCUUUUUGUACAUAAAUCUUAAUGUUCCCUUGACGUGAAA